UAUACGACCGUACCGCAAACCGACACUGGUGCGCGAGAUGAGUAUUCUAAGGCGCUUGAGAGAACUCAGGAGAAGGAACUCGGCAAAUUGACACCGUAACUUCGGAAGAAGGUGUGCCCUAUUAGUGUGUAGUGAACAACGAAGCAUGAAUGGGUUGCAAAAAAUCGGUGGCUGCGACUGUUUAUUAAAAACACAGCACUCUGCAAACACGAAAGUGGACGUAUAGGGUGUGACGCCUGCCCGGUGCUGGAAGAUUAAAUGAUGGGGUGCAAGCUCUUGAUUGAAGUCCCAGUAAACGGCGGCCGUAACGAUAACGGUCCUAAGGUAGCGAAAUUCCUUGUCGGGUAAGUUCCGACCUGCACGAAUGGCGUAACGAUGGCCACACUGUCUCCUCCUGAGACUCAGCGAAGUUGAAAUGUUUGUGAUGAUGCAAUCUCCCCGCGGAAAGACGGAAAGACCCCAUGAACCUUUACUGUAGCUUUGUAUUGGACUUUGAACAGAUCUGUGUAGGAUAGGUGGGAGGCUUUGAAGCAGGGUCGCUAGAUCUUGUGGAGCCAACGUUGAAAUACCACCCUGGUGUGUUUGAGGUUCUAACCUAGGUCCAUUAUCUGGAUCGGGGACAGUGCAUGGUAGGCAGUUUGACUGGGGCGGUCUCCUCCCAAAGCGUAACGGAGGAGUUCGAAGGUACGCUAGUUACGGUCGGACAUCGUGACGAUAGUGCAAUGGCAUAAGCGUGCUUAACUGCGAGACUGACAAGUCGAGCAGAUGCGAAAGCAGGACAUAGUGAUCCGGUGGUUCUGUAUGGAAGGGCCAUCGCUCAACGGAUAAAAGGUACUCUGGGGAUAACAGGCUGAUACCGCCCAAGAGUUCAUAUCGACGGCGGUGUUUGGCACCUCGAUGUCGGCUCAUCUCAUCCUGGGGCUGUAGCCGGUCCCAAGGGUAUGGCUGUUCGCCAUUUAAAGAGGUACGUGAGCUGGGUUUAAAACGUCGUGAGACAGUUUGGUCCCUAUCUUCCGUGGGCGCUGCAGAUUUGAGGAAGCCUGCUCCUAGUACGAGAGGACCGGAGUGGACACACCUCUGGUGUAUCGGUUGUCACGCCAGUGGCAUUGCCGAGUAGCUAAGUGUGGAAGAGAUAACCGCUGAAAGCAUCUAAGCGGGAAACUCGUUUCAAGAUGAGAUCUGCCGGGGCCUUGAGCCCCCUAAAGAGUCGUUCAAGACCAGGACGUUGAUAGGUCAGGUGUUGAAGCG
rnacentral:rRNA from 1 species